UUUCUUCAGUUUAAAUUAUCCAACUCAGUUUGGAUUAUCGACGUACAGGGGGUGACCACUAUCACGUUAACUAUUUGAAUUUAAUUUUGACCAGAAAUAUCUAAAACUAGAAAUGGCGCGGCCGCGGCCGACGCGUAUCCACACGCCGCAGCAAAAUUCCAAAUAGUGCACUGUCGCACACAUGCUCAUAGCUACCAUUUGUUUAAGUUUCCAGGUUUUAGUGCUAAAAGUGUAGGAGGAGAUAGUUGCCAGGACGGACGGACGGCGGAGAUAACCACAUAGUCGUCCCGCUACAAUUCGGAGCGUGGGGAUAAUGUAGAUAUUCGGCAAUAUUAUUAUGGCUGCGCUGCUCGUCCCAGGCAUGCUGUUCCCUUGUGAGGCGCAUGACACAGUGGAAAUGCAUUUUGGAGGUACUGAGAACCACAACGAAAUGGAUAAUGCCCUUCUGGUACAAACUGUGGGAUGGACUGCUUGUCUGACAUGUGCGGGCGAAACGAGGUACAGUCUAAUGAGAACAGCUGCUCGAGGGCUGGGGUUUGGAAGAAUGAGCUCAGCUCAGUCAUGCUAAUCACGUGCAGUGACGGGGAAAUAAGAGGC